AUUGAACGCUGGCGGCAUGCCUUACACAUGCAAGUCGAACGGCAGCACGGGAGCUUGCUCCUGGUGGCGAGUGGCGAACGGGUGAGUAAUGCAUCGGAACGUGCCCUGAAGUGGGGGGAUAACGUAGCGAAAGUUACGCUAAUACCGCAUAUUCUGUGAGCAGGAAAGCAGGGGAUCUUCGGACCUUGCGCUUUUGGAGCGGCCGAUGUCGGAUUAGCUAGUUGGUGGGGUAAAGGCCCACCAAGGCGACGAUCCGUAGCGGGUCUGAGAGGAUGAUCCGCCACACUGGAACUGAGACACGGUCCAGACUCCUACGGGAGGCAGCAGUGGGGAAUUUUGGACAAUGGGCGCAAGCCUGAUCCAGCCAUGCCGCGUGAGUGAAGAAGGCC
rnacentral:rRNA from 1 species